rnacentral:rRNA from 1 species
UACAUGUGGGGCAAGCGUUGUUCGGAAUUACUGGGCAUAAAGGGUGCGUAGGCGGCCUGUCAAGUCAGUGGUGAAAGUUUCCGGCCCAACCGGGAAAUGUCCUCUGAUACUGACGGGCUAGAGUGCGUGAGGGGUGACCGGAACGAGUGGUGUAGCGGUGAAAUGCGUAGAUAUCACUCGGAAGGCCAACGGCGAAGGCGGGUCACUGGUGCGCAACUGACGCUGAGGCACGAAAGCGUGGGGAGCAAACAGG